AACCAUUUGAGUAAAGCGAAGUACAGAAACUGGAAGAGCAAAUCUAAAUUGAGAACAAAAUCAUUGACAAUUGCUAAUCAGAAACGCUCAGGCUGUUGUUCUUCAAACUCCAAGGCGCAGAUCCAAGAGGUGUUGAAACCCUUGUUUUCUCUUAUUUACUUUCAAAAUCCAUCAUAUCUCUUUACCUUUUUCUCGCCCGCACACUAACAGGAGAAGGGAACGAUUUUAAUAUAGGAGCCAUUUGAAGUGUUAUAUAUUCACUUGAGAAAAUGCCCUCUCAAAAGAUUGAGACAGGUCAUCAAGACACAGUUCAUGAUGUGGCAAUGGAUUACUAUGGUAAGCGCCUUGCAACUGCCUCAUCGGACCACUCAAUCAAGAUUAUUGGGGUUAGCAACAAUACUUCCCAGCAUCUUGCUCAGCUGACUGGCCAUCA
rnacentral:misc_RNA from 1 species